GGUUCCCUCCAACCCAAACCAGGCUGGGAUUCUAUGACAGCGUCACUCCUUGCCCAUCUGGGGACACAGCCAUUACCCCACCAUCCCCAUUCCCAGCGUGAGCUGCUGGGUCUCAUCUUGCCCCUGGACCUCCCACAUGGGUGCUCACUGUGUCACAGGAUGGUUGUCACCCACCUCAGCCUUGAAGUUCACCACCUCCUCCUUCAGGGCUGCGAUCUCCCUGUAAAGCUGCUCGAUUAACUGAUCCUUGGGAAGAAAGGGCCACCCUGCACAUCACCUCCGUUGCGUCUUGUGGUGGGGACCAGGACCUGGUCGCUGUACAGCCCCGAGGAGCAGGGAUGGCUUUGGCCUCCUCAGCAGUUGCCGAGGUUCCGCCGCGCGGCUCCCGCAGCGCGUUCCGGGCCGGUGGCCGUUAGCGGAGAGCCGGAGAGAGAUGGCGCUGCCGAGCCCGUGGCGCUGCCCCUGGCGCUGGCCGGCGGCGCUGCCGCUGGCGCUGGCAGUGAUGCUGACCUGCCUGGCGCAGGGAUCGCUGCUGGGAGCGGUGCUGGGCGCGGGGGGUGCCUGGUGUGCGGUGCGGUCCCGCCCGCCCGCCAGGCGCCCUCCGGCCCGGCGCUCUCCGGCGCGGUUCCUGCCCCCCCGGCGCCCUCCCCCACUGCUCCUGCCCCCUUACAGGCCCAGUCUCAUCGCCCGGUUCCCGCCCCCUUGGCUCCAGGUCUACCACCGCCUGUGGGCCAAAAGGGCCGGUAACUGUGGUCUGGCCGCAGGCGCCGGCCCCAGUGUUUGCACCCUAUCCCGCGGCAACUGCCUUGGAGCCCCGCUGCAGACCGUGCGCCGCCAGGACCCGCUGCCGCCGCACCGGAGCCCUGGAACGGUUUUCCCGACGAAGUGGAUGUGUAUGAGGACGUCCCCACAGCCCAUUGCAGGAUCCUGCUUUGAUGUGCCUCUUGGGAAAGGAAGGCAAUGGGAGGUGCGGCAUCCAACGAAUUUUGCGCCAGGAACACCGAAGAGGGCUGUGCAGACCGAGGAAGCUGUCAAGAGGCCUGAGCAGAAGAGGCAGGAGUCCCCAAGCCCACCACCAUCACCGGGAAACGGAAGGCCACGCAAGAGGAGCAUCUGCCUGCUGGUGCCUUGGAAUAAUGAACCACUGGUGCUGCCCCCUGCACCUGACCCGGGUUACCCCAUCACGCCGGAGAUCAUCGAGGAGGAGAGGAAGGCAGCACAAGAGCGCUUGCGUCGGCUCUUGGGGCAUAAGUCUGCAGAUGUGGUCCCCAGCACCGGUGGGGAAGAUGUGUCCCUGGGCACAGCCAUCGCCCAGGGCUCCUCUGGCACCAGCCAUACAGAGGCAGCGUUUUCGAGCACGCCAUCGGAUGUUUCUGGGCUGGCCGCUUCCACCACCAACGGCCAUAUGCACAUCAGCCAGCCCAGAAGCAGGAGCCCGCCCGUGUUAGGAGGAACUCCUGCGCCCUUCUUUGGCCAGCGCCCCUCAGGCCUUGGAAGAGUCAUCGCUUCCUCUGGCAGAGAGGGAGUUGGUGCUUCAGCCUUGAGGAGCUGACGGCUCGUGUUGUGCCCUUGGGCUGGGGGAUGGCGGAAGGGCCAGGCUGUGCUGUCAGAGCCGGCUUGGGUGGUACCUGCUGAGCUCUGGGGAUGAAAACCUUUCAUUCCCUUCGGGAUAGGGAUUGUGGCAGCCCCUGUGCCAGCUCAGAGUGUGGCUGCAGACGCCUGAUCAAUUUUUGUGCUUCCAGGUUCGUCCACCCGCACCUCGUCCACCCCGGCAAGGAUCCAAGGAACUUGCAAGCGGCAAAAGGAGGAGGACCGCUCCGAUGCCAAGUGGCCGUUUGGACAACCAGCAACAAAACGUCGUCGGCCGUGAUAUUCAUUGGAGAUUUUAUUGUUCUACAUGUGUUCUUCACUUGUUUUAAUAUUGUUGUUAUACUGUUGUUCUUUUGUUAUUUUAUUGUUCUUUUGAUGUUCUAAUAUUGUUCUAUUAUUGUUGUUAAACCUUUAUACUAUUUGUAAUUAAACCUUUGUACUACUUUGUUGUA